rnacentral:rRNA from 1 species
CCUACGGGGCGCAGCAGUGAGGAAUAUCGGUCAAUGGGCGCGAGCCUGAACCAGCCAAGUCGCGUGAGGGAUGACGGCCCUACGGGUUGUAAACCUCUUUUGCCGGGGAGCAACGGGCGCCACGUGUGGCGCCACUGAGAGUACCCGGAGAAAAAGCAUCGGCUAACUCCGUGCCAGCAGCCGCGGUAAUACGUAGGUGGCAAGCGUUAUCCGGAUUUACUGGGUGUAAAGGGCGUGUAGGCGGGAGUGCAAGUCAGAUGUGAAAACUAUGGGCUCAACCCAUAGCCUGCAUUUGAAACUGUACU